rnacentral:rRNA from 1 species
CCUACGGGAGGCAGCAGUGGGGAAUUUUGCACAAUGCGCGUAAGCGUGACGCAGCGACGCCGCGUGAGUGACGAAGGCCUUCGGAUCGUAAAGUUCUGUCGACAGGGAAGAAAAUGCCUGUAAGUAACUGUUCACGUAUCGACGGUAUCUGUAUAGACAGCCACGGCUAACUCCGUGCCAGCAGCCGCGGUAAUACGUAGGUGGCGAGCGUUGUUCGGAUUGACUGGGCGUAAAGGGCACGUAGGCGGUGUUGUAAGUCAGUUGUGAAAGCCUUGGGCUUAACUUGAGUAAGGCAAGGGAUACUAGAAGACUAGAGUGUCAGAGAGGAGAGCAGAAGUCCUGGUGUAGCGGUGAAAUGCGUAGAUAUCAGGAAGAAUACCGGUAGCGAAGGCGGCUAUCUGGUCGGUAACUGACGCUGAGGUGCGAAAGCGUGGGUAGCAAACAGGAUUAGAUACCCGGGUAGUC